UUAAAGCUCUCAAACGUUAGCCCAAAUAAACCAAACCCAAAAAAAAACAAAAGCCCAAACAAUAUUAGCCCAACUGCAGCGCAAAACACCCACAAACUCUUCUUCUUCUACGUAACCCAACAACGGCAUUGAAAUUAAGCACCAUCAUUCCCACUAAAUCUCCUUAAUUGGCCACUCCCCCUUGAUUUAAAUGUACACUUAUUGACAUCUUCUCUUCCCAAACCCUAUAAAAUCUUCCUCUCCGUAAUGUAACCAUCACCGCCAAAUCUUUGCGCCAACCUUCUUUCUCCUAAAUUCCCACUUGCGAACGUUCUUUCUCCCCGCAAAAGUCUCAUCCAAAACAGAAAUAUGAAUAGACGACCUUACGCAUCUCUCUCAAAUCCGGAUGAGUUCAAAUUCUCUGAUCGAUAAUUUAAGGAUCGAAUCAUUGGAGUGGGUUUAUGGAGAACUCAAAAUUGGGUUCAGUUGGUGUUUCUUGUAGAAUUUCUUCUUCGAAGGAGUGCAGGAACACUU
rnacentral:lncRNA from 1 species